GAUGAACGCUGGCGGCGUGCCUAAUACAUGCCAGUCGAGCGAACGGACGAGAAGCUUGCUUCUCUGAUGUUAGCGGCGGACGGGUGAGUAACACGUGGAUAACCUACCUAUAAGACUGGGAUAACUUCGGGAAACCGGAGCUAAUACCGGAUAAUAUUUUGAACCGCAUGGUUCAAAAGUGAAAGACGGUCUUGCUGUCACUUAUAGAUGGAUCCGCGCUGCAUUAGCUAGUUGGUAAGGUAACGGCUUACCAAGGCAACGAUGCAUAGCCGACCUGAGAGGGUGAUCGGCCACACUGGAACUGAGACACGGUCCAGACUCCUACGGGAGGCAGCAGUAGGGAAUCUUCCGCAAUGGGCGAAAGCCUGACGGAGCAACGCCGUGUGAGUGAUGAAGGUCUUCGGAUCGUAAAACUCUGUUAUUAGGGAAGAACAUAUGUGUAAGUAACUGUGCACAUCUUGACGGUACCUAAUCAGAAAGCCACGGCUAACUACGUG
rnacentral:rRNA from 1 species